ACCAUACCAUCCUGAAUGUACUCACCCUCUUGUGAUUUCAAAAGCUAUGUUGUGUUGGACCUGGCUAAUACUUCAGUUGGAGACCAACAGGGAAUCCCAGGGAU
rnacentral:rRNA from 1 species